CUUGGAGAUAAGAGUAGGCCAGUUCAUGGGCCGGGCUAAUUGGUUCUGUCAGCAUGGUCUAAUCAUUGGACCGGACUGGUUACGGCUCCGCCCCGAUCUACAUGGCUCGAGUCAGUGGUGGCGGAUCGAAAUGCAUUAGGUUUUUGAAUCCGACCCGUUAAUCCAAAUCGAAACCUUCCUCGCCUUCAAAUUCCCAGAUCCCGUUCUUUGGCAUCGUCGCGGGACGAAGCAAGCACGAAAUCUUCUCAUCUCCAAUGGCAAGUGUCAACCCUAGGAUGAGGUCUAGGAAGGAAAGGCCCGGAGCGCCGCCAUCAUGGAUUGAGCCAACAGAAGCGGCAAGAGAUAUCGAUACCGAUCAAUCUGGCAGCCUUGACGCCAAGGAGCUGAAUGUCGCCAUGAGGUACUAAUAUCACGUGGCUUAACUGGGCCCUGGGGUUUGAAGUGACAGAAGACGUUGACUACGGAUAUUAAUUGUUUGAUGGCUGAAAUAGACAAUGAUAAGAGUGGGGCAAUUGAUUUUGAUGAAUUUCUUUACAUGAUGAAGGCCAAGAUUGGAGAAAGGGACAGCAAAAAACUUACGAGGGCUUUUCGCAUUAUUGACCAGGAUGGUAAUGUAAAAAUUCUACCUGCUUUAUCAAUAUGCAAUCUUAUUUGUGUGUAAUAAACUUUUGUUCAGAUAAUUCUAAAACUUGUUGGGACCUGUCGAGGGGAAGAUAUAAUAUAAUCACUUCUCAUUGAAGUUUUGCUAAUGAUUGAUUAAAGGAUGAUUUUGACCAACCCUCUGUAACCAGGAUGGAGAUAUAGUCGAGGUCUGGGACUGCAGCAUGCUACCAUACCCAUCGUGCAUUCUCUAUGCCGGUACAUCAUAUGCAUAGGGGCUUGCUGCAAAAAAGGGAAAAAUUAAUGAGAGCACAUGCUCCUUUAUGAAAUAUAGCAGUAAUGUUAUGAAAUUUCAUCACAAUUAUUGUUCUUAUCUUUCUCUAUCUGAUGAUAUCAAUCACUUUCCUUUAUUUGAAUGUUAUCUUAUCUUUUAAGGCUCAACUUUCUAUUCUUGCUGACAGUGUAAAAUGGAACUUUAUUGCUAUUUACUAAUAAGCCUUGUCUUGUUGAAGUAUAUAGGGAUAAUUGUAAAAGGUUGAACCAAGAAAAAGAGUGUUUAAGAAGUCAAAGGCGGUCCUUUUGAAAGGGGAACUUACAACAGAGUAACUCCCAUAAAAACAGAUCAACUUAUCUUUCUAUCGGCGAAAAUUUUAGAAUACCGGUAUCCUGUAUACUAGUAUCAGCUCUUAGUAUGAGAUAUGUCCAAAAUAAUGUAGUAGUUUGAGAUUUUGGUUCUUGUGGUAUGCAGGUGAUGAAGAUGUUGAUGCUGAGGAAUUCAUGAGGAUUAUGAGGAGCUGUGGGCAUUAGAAUUUAUCCUGUUGUAUAGUUUUUGAAUCCCCCCUUAUGAUCAUCUGAAUGAUUCAGUCCUUAUUGAAGCUUUCCAAAA